AGGGACUUAGGAUAGAAGACCAAGGGCCUUCAAAGCCCUAAGCGGGAGUUAAACCCUCCCAGGCCCUG
rnacentral:tRNA from 1 species